rnacentral:rRNA from 1 species
CAGUCGCCGCGGUAAUACGAAGGGGGCUAGCGUUGUUCGGAAUCACUGGGCGUAAAGGGUGCGUAGGCGGAUUCUUAAGUCAGGGGUGAAAUCCCGAGGCUCAACCUCGGAACUGCCUUUGAUACUGGGGAUCUUGAGUCCGGAAGAGGUGAGUGGAACUGCGAGUGUAGAGGUGAAAUUCGUAGAUAUUCGCAAGAACACCGGUGGCGAAGGCGGCUCACUGGUCCGGAACUGACGCUGAGGCACGACAGCGUGGGGAGCAAACAGGAUUAGAUACCCCUGUAGUCCCUGUCUCUUAUAC